GACGAACGCUGGCGGCGUGCCUAAUACAUGCCAGUCGAACGCACUCUCGUUUAGAUUGAAGGAGUUUGCUCCUGAUUGAUAAACAUUUGAGUGAGUGGCGGACGGGUGAGUAACACGUGGGUAACCUGCCCUAAAGUGGGGGAUAACAUUUGGAAACAGAUGCUAAUACCGCAUAAAACCUAACACCGCAUGGUGUAGGGUUGCAAGAUGGUUUCGGCUAUCACUUUAGGAUGGACCCGCGGUGCAUUAGUUAGUUGGUGAGGUAAAGGCUCACCAAGACCGUGAUGCAUAGCCGACCUGAGAGGGUAAUCGGCCACACUGGGACUGAGACACGGCCCAGACUCCUACGGGAGGCAGCAGUAGGGAAUCUUCCACAAUGGACGAAAGUCUGAUGGAGCAACGCCGCGUGAGUGAAGAAGGUUUUCGGAUCGUAAAACUCUGUUGUUGGAGAAGAAUGUAUCUGAUAGUAACUGAUCAGGUAGUGACGGUAUCCAACCAGAAAGCCACGGCUAACUACGUG
rnacentral:rRNA from 1 species